GAUCAUGGCUCAGAUUGAACGCUGGCGGCAGGCUUAACACAUGCAAUCCGAGCGGGGGGAGGUUGCUUCGGUAACUGACCUAGCGGCGGACGGGUGAGUAAUGCUCAGGAAUCUGCCUAUUAGUGGGGGACAACAUUCCGAAAGGAAUGCUAAUACCGCAUACGUCCUACGGGGGAAAGCAGGGGAUCUUCGGACCUUGCGCUAAUAGAUGAGCCUAAGUCGGAUUAGCUAGUUGGUGGGGUAAAGG
rnacentral:rRNA from 1 species